UUAAAUUGAAGAGUUUGAUCAUGGCUCAGAUUGAACGCUGGCGGCAGGCCUAACACAUGCAAGUCGAACGGUAACAGGAAGCAGCUUGCUGCUUUGCUGACGAGUGGCGGACGGGUGAGUAAUGUCUGGGAAACUGCCCGAUGGAGGGGG
rnacentral:rRNA from 1 species